rnacentral:rRNA from 1 species
GACGAACGCUGGCGGCGUGCUUAACACAUGCAAGUCGAACGGAAAGGCCCUGCUUUUGUGGGGUGCUCGAGUGGCGAACGGGUGAGUAACACGUGAGUAACCUGCCCUUGACUUUGGGAUAACUUCAGGAAACUGGGGCUAAUACCUGAUAGGAGCUCCUGCUGCAUGGUGGGGGUUGGAAAGUUUCGGCGGUUGGGGAUGGACUCGCGGCUUAUCAGCUUGUUGGUGGGGUAGUGGCUUACCAAGGCUUUGACGGGUAGCCGGCAUGAGAGGGUGACCGGCGACAUGGGGACUGAGAUACGGCCCAGACUCCUACGGGAGGCAGCAGUGGUGAAUAUUGCACAAUGGGCGGAAGCCUGAUGCAGCAACGCCGCGUGCGGGAUGACGGCCUUCGGGUUGUAAACCGCUUUCGCCUGUGACGAAGCGUGAGUGACGGUAAUGGGUAGAGAAGCACCGGCUAACUACGUG